AGGCCCUUUCGGGGGUACACGAGUGGCGAACGGGUGAGUAACACGUGGGUAAUCUGCCCUGCACUUCGGGAUAAGCCUGGGAAACCGGGUCUAAUACCGGAUAUGAGCUCCUGCCGCAUGGUGGGGGUUGGAAAGUUUUUCGGUGCAGGAUGAGUCCGCGGCCUAUCAGCUUGUUGGUGGGGUAAUGGCCUACCAAGGCGACGACGGGUAGCCGGCCUGAGAGGGUGAUCGGCCACACUGGGACUGAGACACGGCCCAGACUCCUACGGGAGGCAGCAGUGGGGAAUAUUGCACAAUGGGCGAAAGCCUGAUGCAGCGACGCCGCGUGGGGGAUGACGGUCUUCGGAUUGUAAACUCCUUUCAGUAGGGACGAAGCGAAAGUGACGGUACCUGCAGAAGAAGCACCGGCCAACUACGUGCCAGCAGCCGCGGUAAUACGUAGGGUGCAAGCGUUGUCCGGAAUUACUGGGCGUAAAGAGCUCGUAGGCGGUUUGUCACGUCGUCUGUGAAAUCCUCCAGCUCAACUGGGGGCGUGCAGGCGAUACGGGCAGACUUGAGUACUACAGGGGAGACUGGAAUUCCUGGUGUAGCGGUGAAAUGCGCAGAUAUCAGGAGGAACACCGGUGGCGAAGGCGGGUCUCUGGGUAGUAACUGACGCUGAGGAGCGAAAGCAUGGGGAGCAAACAGGAUUAGAUACCCUGGUAGUUCCAUGCCGUAA
rnacentral:rRNA from 1 species